GAAAAAAAAAUCCAUUAGAUCCUUCGCCUAGAGAGAGAAACGGCGCACCUCCCCCUCUUUCUUCUUCUUCAUUUUUUUUUUUCAAAAUCAUACACACGACUUACACACAGUAACAACUAAAUUCAAAGCUAGAAAUCUUCAACUAGAAGUCCGAAAAAGAAUCAAAAAAAAAAAAAGUAAAGAAAGAUGAGCGAGGAUUUUGAAGUUAAAGAAUGGUAGGAUUCAAUUGGGACUCUCAAAGGUUUUUAAUCAAUGUGUGUUCAUCAUGAAAUUUCCGGGUUCCAAAGAGUAAUUCGAGUGCAAAGCCUCUGAAGAUUGCUGUUUGUUAUUGUUCCUGUUCUGCUGUUCAUCAUGCUCUGUUUGUACUCGGCUCUUGUUUAAAGCCUGCUUAGCUACUCUCAAGCCUUUAUUUGGCAAGCAUCUCAGUUUCAGUUGCAAGUCUAGAUUAGUUUGAGAUGCCAGGACUAAAUGAGAUUCCAUUUUGAAACAAAGGAAAAUGGCCUUUUUUUUAUGGAAUAUGCAUUUGUGCAAAGUUGAAUAGCUACAAGUUAAAAACAGAACUUUCGAAGAUACAUAUAGAGGACUUUCAUUUCUAAUUAGAGCAUGAAUGUUGUCCUUAAUUGAUUUUAGAGACCAUUGAUGUAUUUUAUAAUUCUUGUGUGGAUGAAUUUGAACCCAAAGAUAAUUGUAGUGUAUUGAGAGAUCAUUUGCUUAAUGUAGAAUUACGGUGUUAAAUUGGUCAUUUAAAUUGUACUA